GACGAACCGUGCGAACGUUAUUCGGAAUCACUGGGCUUAAAGGGCGCGUAGGCGGUUCGUUAAGUCCUGUGUGAAAUCCCCCGGCUCAACUGGGGAGGGUCAUUCGAUACUGUCCGACUCGAAGGCAGGAGAGGGAAGCGGAAUUCCCGGUGUAGUGGUGAAAUGCGUAGAUAUUGGGAGGAACACCGGUGGCGAAGGCGGCUACCUGGACCGGUUCUGACGCUGAUGCGCGAAAGCGUGGGUAGCAAACAGG
rnacentral:rRNA from 1 species